GGAUUACAGACGUGAGCCACCGCGCCCGGCCUUUUCCAUUUUGAUGGUUGUCUCAUCAAGCUGUUCCUCCUACUGAAUACAAACCAGAUAUUAAGACAGUGUUUAAGUGCCCUCCCAUAUGUAGUUCUGAGUUAGACAUUAAACAAAUUAAGGUAAAAGUCAAUUCCUUAAACCAGGUAAUCAAAGUUAACAUCAACAGUGAUGUCCUGUUGAUAGUAUGUAUUGGUGAUACAAUAUGAUGAUUGUAGCACUCUGUGUGGUCUUCUUCACAAAGACUCAUAACCCUAGUCUACUCAUGAGAAAAACAUCUGACAAAUCUCAGUGGAAGGACAUUCUAAAAAAUACUUGACCAGUAUUCCUCAAACUUGUCAAGGUCAUCAAAAACAAGGAAAAUUGGAAAAUCUUUCAUGGCCAAGAGAAGCUUAAGGAGACAUGAUGAUUAAAUGUAUCCUGGAUGGGAUCCUGGAACACGAAAAGGACAUUAGCACCUGCUGCAGAUGCUAGUGUGCCAUCACAAUAAAUCCUCCUGUGCUGACUUUCAGGCAGAAGACACAGCUGUGAGCAGAGCUGGUCAUGUGUCAUCUACUGCUUUUUAAGCAGAUCCUCAACAGUAACCGGGCUGCACUAUGACAUUUCAGCACUAAGUGGAGCCAGACGCCCAACUGCCUUAAAAUUUACAAAUCAGCAGAAGAGUACAGCCUAGUUACCUGGAAAACCUGACUUGGCCAUUGUGUUUACAGAUGGACAGAGCUGGAGUUAU
rnacentral:lncRNA from 1 species